rnacentral:rRNA from 1 species
ACCCGCUGAACUUAAGCAUAUCAAUAAGCGGAGGAAAAGAAACCAACAGGGAUUGCCCUAGUAACGGCGAGUGAAGCGGCAAUAGCUCAGAUUUGAAAUCUGGUCCUUUCAGGGCCCGAGUUGUAAUCUGCAGAGGAUGCUUCGGUGUCAGCCUCGGCCUAAGUUCCUUGGAACAGGACGUCACAGAGGGUGAGAAUCCCGUAUGUGGUCGGCUGCUUUCACCAUGUGAAGCUCCUUCGACGAGUCGAGUUGUUUGGGAAUGCAGCUCUAAAUGGGAGGUAAAUUUCUUCUAAAGCUAAAUAUUGGCCAGAGACCGAUAGCGCACAAGUAGAGUGAUCGAAAGAUGAAAAGCACUUUGGAAAGAGAGUUAAAAAGCACGUGAAAUUGUUGAAAGGGAAGCGCUUGCAAUCAGACUUGAUCGCGAUGGCUUAUCCAAGCUAUAACGGCUUGGUGCACUCCUUCGUAAUCAGGCCAGCAUCAGUUCGGGCGGCUGGAUAAAGAAUUUGGGAAUGUGGCUCUCUUCGGGGAGUGUUAUAGCCCAGAUUGUAAUGCAGUCAGCCUGGACUGAGGUCCGCGCUUCGGCUAGGAUGCUGGCGUAAUGAUUGUAAGCGGCCCGUCUUGAAACACGGACCAAGGAGUCUAACAUCUAUGCAAGUGUUUGGGUGUUAAACCCAUACGCGUAAUGAAAGUGAACGGAGGUGGGAACCCGCAAGGGCGCACCAUCGACCGAUCCUGAUGUCUUCGGAUGGAUUUGAGUAAGAGCAUAGCUGUUGGGACCCGAAAGAUGGUGAACUAUGCGUGGGUAGGGUGAAGCCAGAGGAAACUCUGGUGGAGGCUCGCAGCGGUUCUGACGUGCAAAUCGAUCGUCAAACCUGCGCAUAGGGGCGAAAGACUAAUCGAACCAUUGAUAUAGUAGAUUAUUAUUAUUUUGCUACUAGGUGGUUAAUAGGCAGCUAAAAGUGUCUGUCUAGUCCCUCUAUUCGGGGCGACACUGUCAAAUUGCGGGAACAUCCUGAGAGCUUAAGCUACCGCGGCCUACUGAAAGGUAAGGUGCAGCACCGGGGUAAUGACCCAGGGGAUGGUAAAAACGCUUAAGAUUGGACGAUCCGCAGCCAAGCUCUAAGUUAGUAACGUAGACCUACUACUAAUACGAGUGCAGUUCACAGACUAAAUGGCAGUGGGUAUUGAGUAAAAUCAGUGCUUAAGAUAUAGUCGAUCCCUUGUGGAAACGCAAGUAAUAGGACAAAGUUCACUAGAUGAAUAGAUAUUCUUUAGAAUAUUUCUAGUUUACCCGAACCCUAUUAAAAAGAUAUAUUCCAAUCUAUAUUUUUUGGAGCUACAUGCUAGUAGCUGGUUCCUGCCGAAGUUUCCCUCAGGAUAGCAGUAACGUUUUCAGUUUUAUGAGGUAAAGCGAAUGAUUAGAGGCCUGGGGGUUGAAACAACCUUCACCUAUUCUCAAACUUUAAAUAUGUAAGAAGUCCUUGUUACUUAGUUGAACGUGGACAUUUGAAUGUAUCGUUACUAGUGGGCCAUUUUUGGUAAGCAGAACUGGCGAUGCGGGAUGAACCGAACGCGAUGUUAAGGUGCCGGAAUGCACGCUCAUCAGACACCACAAAAGGUGUUAGUUCAUCUAGACAGCAGGACGGUGGCCAUGGAAGUCGGAAUCCGCUAAGGAGUGUGUAACAACUCACCUGCCGAAUGAACUAGCCCUGAAAAUGGAUGGCGCUCAAGCGUGCUACCAAUACAUCGCCGCCAGGGUAGAAACGAUGCCCUGGCGAGUAGGCAGGCGUGGAGGUCCAGUGACGAAGC